rnacentral:rRNA from 1 species
UAGGGUGACCCGGUCUUACCACCGGGAUGUUCAUAACCCUUUGUUGUCCGACUCUGUUGCCUCCGGGGCGACCCUGCCUUCGGGCGGGGGCUCCGGGUGGACACUUCAAACUCUUGCGUAACUUUGCAGUCUGAGUAAACUUAAUUAAUAAAUUAAAACUUUUAACAACGGAUCUCUUGGUUCUGGCAUCGAUGAAGAACGCAGCGAAAUGCGAUAAGUAAUGUGAAUUGCAGAAUUCAGUGAAUCAUCGAAUCUUUGAACGCACAUUGCGCCCCCUGGUAUUCCGGGGGGCAUGCCUGUUCGAGCGUCAUUUCACCACUCAAGCCUCGCUUGGUAUUGGGCAACGCGGUCCGCCGCGUGCCUCAAAUCGACCGGCUGGGUCUUCUGUCCCCUAAGCGUUGUGGAAACUAUUCGCUAAAGGGUGUUCGGGAGGCUACGCCGUAAAACAACCCCAUUUCUAAGGUUGACCUCGGAUCAGGUAGGGAUACCCGCUGAACUUAAGCAUAUCAAAGCCGGGAGGAA